rnacentral:rRNA from 1 species
UGGGGAAUAUUGGACAAUAGGCGAAAGCCUGAUCCAGCCAUGCCGCGUGUGUGAAGAAGGUCUUCGGAUUGUAAAGCACUUUAAGUUGGGAGGAAGGGCAUUAACCUAAUACGUUAGUGUUUUGACGUUACCGACAGAAUAAGCACCGGCUAACUCUGUGCCAGCAGCCGCGGUAAUACAGAGGGUGCAAGCGUUAAUCGGAAUUACUGGGCGUAAAGCGCGCGUAGGUGGUUUGUUAAGUUGGAUGUGAAAUCCCCGGGCUCAACCUGGGAACUGCAUUCAAAACUGACUGACUAGAGUAUGGUAGAGGGUGGUGGAAUUUCCUGUGUAGCGGUGAAAUGCGUAGAUAUAGGAAGGAACACCAGUGGCGAAGGCGACCACCUGGACUAAUACUGACACUGAGGUGCGAAAGCGUGGGGAGCAAACA